rnacentral:lncRNA from 1 species
GCUGUGGAGGUUAACAUAAGUCCAGAUAAAUUGGCAGUUGACUUCCACGUUUGUUUUUGUUUCAUUCUGAUGGAGAUUAGUGUAAGUCCAUAAAGUGGCUUCUGAUAUCCUUACUUGUUUUAGGAGACAGGUAUAAGACCAUUGAGUGGCAUCCAGUAUCCGCUUUUAUUUAUUUUCAUCUGUUAUCACGUUCAUAUUAUUGCUCAUUUGUAGCCUAUUCCUAAGGGCCCACUUGAAUCAUCUUCUAUAUGAUUUCAAGAGGCGGACCCUCCUAAGAAGUUUUACAUUCACUCCACCAUCCCAUCCAUCCCAUUGUGUCCUAAACUUUUCACACAUGUUUUAAAGCUUGAAAUAAGUGUUGUGCAAACAUUCUCACCUCUUUCCAAAUUAGAAACUUGGACCUUAAGUCCAUGAUUUUCCAAACUCCAUCUUUUGUAAAUACUUCAUUUUGAAUUGACUUUAAUCAUACUUUGACCAUGUUUUGUAAAUAAUUCCAAAUCAAUUAACUUCACCCAUUCAAUGACUUUGUGGCUUUGUCCAUGUUCGUUAAGUUUUCAUACAUUAGCUAUAGGUUUGAUUUACCCUAGUUGGUUGAUAUUAAUCUCACCUAUUUGUCCUUAGUAGAUGAAUUGUAAGUCUUCCUUGCCUAUUAUAGGGUUAACCCCUCUCUGGCAUGAAGCUUUUCUCAAUCGGUGGACUAGUUGUAUAUAAGGUUGAGUUUUCUCAUGCGGUAACGUAAACCUUCCCGGGCGCUCGUGUUCUGAAAAUUGAACUCACUAACUUUUUGGAAAUCUUUUAGCCGAACAUCGGUUUAUCCUGUACUUAUUGGAGUCGUAGGCACACGGGUCAUGCCGUCUCGAACACAAAGAAUAAUUACAUGUACAUUCUUUCGGCUCCCUAGGAGUACCUAGGACGUGAUGGGUGCCUAACACCUUCCCAUUGCGUAAUUUACCCCUUACCCCGAUCUCUGAUCUUUUAUUGGUUUUCUACGCGUAAAACUUCUUAGGCUUUUGUUCUCUUUUUAGCCAGUCAUUAGGAUAAAUAAAAGUGCGGUGGCGACUCUAAUUCAUUGUAUGCUUUGCUUAUGAUUUAAUCAAUAGAUCAUAUAGUAACGAAUACACCGCUACACACAUCCAUCUGACAUGUGUUCCAGUUGUUCAUGUUUGCUAGACCAACAACCAACCUGAUUGUUUCGAUCCUAGUAACAGGUGAAAAAGCUUCAUCGAAGUCGAUUCCUUCCUUCUGAAGAAAUCCUUUCACCACAAGUCUUUCCUUGUGUCGAGUUACCUAACCUUUGGGAUUCAACUUCAUCUUGUAUAUCCACUUCACAUUGAUUUCCUUCUUGUCUUGAGGCAAUUUGACAAGGGACCAAGUGUUGUUAACUUCGAUGGACUUCAGUUCCUCAUUCAUUGCUUUCACCCACUUCGAAUCCUUCAAUGCCUUAGCUGCAUUGACUGUCCGACAUCUGUAAAAAAAUCAUAGUGUACCAGCUCACCUUCAUCAUAGAACACAUCAUCUGAUGUAAUCACACAUUUUUACAACCUUGUAGGCAUGUGUCUUAUUCUUUGAGGUAUGUUUGUACUUGCCUGACCUCUGACUUCUUCUUGUCGAACUUCUCUUUCGACUUUAAUUAUUGGUUCUUCACCUAAUAUUCUCACUAAAUCCUUCUUGACAUUUUCAGUCCAAUCUAAUUCCUUAAGCUCAUUUAUGAUCACGUCCCUGUUGAUCACUACUUGCUUUUUCACUAGGUCGAAAAACUUGUAACCUCCAAUCGAAUGAUAUCCUAUUAGGAUCAUCUAACUCGACUUGUCAUCAAGUUUUCUUCUCAACUGAUCUGGCACAUGUCAAUGUGCUAUAGAUACAAAUACUUUCAGAUGACUCAAUCUAGGCUUGACAUGAAACCAACAUUCUUCUGGCGUAACUCCUUCUAGAUUCUUCGUCGUACAUUUGUUCAAAAUAUAUGUAGUUGUCGACACUGCUUGUCCCUAUAAUUCUUUGGGUAGAUGUUUUCCUUUCAACAUACUUCUCACCAUGUUUAUGAUGGUUAUAUUCUUCCUUUAUAUUGUUCCAUUAUGCUUUGGAGUGUAUGGUGGCAUCACCUCAUGCACAAUUCCUUCUUUCUCACAUAACUUGUCGAAGUCUUUCGACACGUACUCUCCACUACCAUCAGUCAUCAGAAUCUUGAACUUUCGACCACUUUGUCUUUUGACCUUAGAUUUAAACUUAGGAAAUACCUCGAUCACUUCACUUUUCUUCUUGAUCAUGUAAGUCCACAACUUUCUACUGAAAUCGUCUAUUAAUAUGACAAAGUAUAUGUUACCUCCAAUCGAACCACCUAGAUAUGACCCCAAACAUCAGAGUAUAUAAAUUCUAGAGUUGCCUUCAACCUGCUUCAUGCAUCCUUGUUGAAGAUGUUCUUGUGCUGCUUCGCCUGCACACAUUCUUCACACACUUCAUUUGGAAUGUCGAUUUCUUAUAACCCUGAAACCAUAUUUCUUCUUUUCAGAUCUCUGAUGCCUUUGAAAUUGAGAUGGCCAAGUUUAUAGUGUCAUAUCCAUUCACACUUGCUAGCUGCAGUUGCAAGGUGUAACACCCUUCUAAAAUACCCCAAUAAUUAAUUAAAAUAACAAAAUAUAAAUCAGAGUAGAUAUGCAAUUUCAGGGUGUCACACUUGACACUUCACACCAUUCACCAAAAUAACUUGUCAUGCUCAAAACCUAAAUCCACCAAAAUGGAUGAUUGAUAUUAGGGAUACAAUGAGUUUUCCCACGACCUUUGUUUGGUGUGCUUUGCUUGAUCCUUGAGUGUGAUUGUUGCAUUCAUACAUUCAUGCAUUCAUCUACAUCUCAUGUAAAAAAAAAAAAGAGAAAAUUUUCAAGGAACCUAAAAGGGUUUAUUUGCAAAAUUUUCAGACAUGGAAAGACCAAAGAGGCAUACGAAGAAGUACAGUUUCCGGCAGCCUGAUGUAAAGGAGUUAAGGAAUCUGACAUCUUAUGUACUAGAUCCCUUGGGUUUCAAGGCUCGAUAUGGGAAGCUCCUACCGCUGCUCACUACUCAAGUGGAUGAGGGCUUGAUGAGCACUCUCGCUCAAUUCUAUGAUCCGCUGUAUCACUGCUUCUUAUUCCCGGACUUCCAGUUAUUGCCUACUUUGGAAGAGUACUCUCACAUUAUUGGGAUCCCGAUUCUGGAUCAGGUGCCGUUCAGUGGCCUAGAGAGUAUUCCAUCUGCCCGUGAGAUUGCUAGUCUAUUGCAUAUAGAUGAAGACCUGAUUAGAGCUAAUCUGAUUACCAAAGGUGGAAUUCAGGGUCUUUCUUCCGAGUUCCUUGUCGCUCAAGCUACCUUCUAUGGAGAAGCCAGGAGUGAGGAUGCCUUUGAGGCUCUAUUUGUAUUGCUCAUCUAUGGGUUGGUUCUAUUUCCCAACUUCGACAAAUUUGUGGACAUGAAUGCUAUUAGGAUCUUCUCAGUUCUUAAUCCUGUUCCGACUUUGUUGUACUUAUGUCUCUCUACACCUGAGGAAUAGGAGGGGUGGUGGAGUUAUUGUCUGCUGUCUGCCGUUGCUGUACAAGUGGUUUAUUUCGCACUUGCCGCAGACGCUCGCUUUUAAGGAGAACAAGAGUUGUCUACGGUGGUCUCAGAGACUUAUGUCCCUCACCAAUAAUGAUAUCUCUUGGUACGAUCGCGUGUAUGAUACUGUUCAGAUUAUUGACUCUUGUGGUGAAUUCCCUAAUGUGCCUCUUCUUGGUACAUGUGGUGGAAUCAGCUACAACCCCAUUCUAGCCCGUCGUCAGCUUGGGUUCCCCCUAAAGGAUAAACCUCGUAACAUUCUGUUAGAAGGUGUAUUCUUCCAGGAGGGUAAAGAUCCCCAAGGCUUGAAACCCAGAUUCAUCCGUGCUUGGCGCAGUAUUCGCAAGAAGAGUAAGAACGAAUUAGGACCGAAGAAUUGUAUUGCUUUGGAGCCUUAUACUUCCUGGGUCAGACAGAGAGCUGCCACUUACUUGAUGCCAUACGACCAUCCGAAGCCUACACCGUUGGAUGUGGCCGGACCUUCAACCCUCCCUACCCAACGUGUAGAGGAGUUGAGAGAAGAAGACCUUUCGCGUGCUUGGAUCCGUGAAAGAGAGGAAUUGUUGCAACAGAUUAAGGAGAAGGAUGCUCUGAUUGAGUUUCUUGAGCAUCAAGUGAUCGAUGACCCGAACGACACUUGGACUUCUUUGCUUCCUCAGUCUUCUAAGUUCUGGAAGAGGAAGUAUGAUCAGCUUGCUAAGGCAAAAGCGGAUAUGGAAGCUGCUUAUGAGAGGGAGAUCAAGAAGCUAUGCACUUCUCGUCCUCCAGCAUCCAGAGCUCCUAGGGAUCCAUAGGAUGUUAUUUUCCUUUUCUCCUUGUAAUUGAAUCAAAAACGAUGUACUUCUUUGUCCAAUAUAUUGAAUGAGAUAUUUUCCAUGUGAAAUUCAAAAUGCUUUAAAUAUUCAAAAUAUUGCAAAUAAUACUGUUGAGACAGUUUUUAAGUGUCGGGUUUUGUUAUCGUAUCCACAGAGAUUGUAAGAUAUCACUGCCGUUCAAUGGUUGAAUUAAUCUUAACUUAAUGUAACACUAGGGUUUUGGUUUUAAUCAAGUUAUCUUGCAUACAAAGUAAUUAAUUGCGGUAAAAGUUACGUUUUGAUUAAUAUGAGAAAUAUUGUCAAAGUUAGGUUUCAAUGAUUACAUUUGCUUUGCAUGUAUUUGCUCGGUCAAUCAUCUUAUAAACUCCUUUAGAUGAUAAAUUAUUUCACAAGGUCCUCUCAAUGCGUUUCUCUCGAACACCCAUUGUGAGUUUUGCCAUUUUGAUCCAUUGUUUCUCUCGAACACAAUCUAUCAAAAUGACAACUUUUUGGUUCAACCUUAUGGUGAACAAAAUCAUUCGUUACUAUCUCUAGCUAACAAACAAGUUUGGAUGAAAACCUAGGUCAAGAAUCGGUAAACAUCUCUCGAUCAAAUACCAACACAAAGAGUUUUAAAUAGAAACAAAGUUUUCAUCAUAUAUUUACCGUUAAAGAGUUUACAAAUGAGGAUCCUUACAUUUACACACAAAGCUUGGAAAUCACCUACAUCUAACCUUGACAAAUGGANAAAUAUACUAAUAAUAAUAUAUAUGAAUGGUUUAUCUUUUAUUUUGAAAAAUAAUACCCUCUCAUUCAUAUUAUCAUCAUAAUAUACUAUUAAACUUAAAUUAAAUAAUUAUCAUAUUUUAUCGGGGUGUUACACAAGGCACUUGUAUUCUAUCACAUUAAGUUCAAUCCUGAAGGUUCUAUUCUGAGACAUAUGUGCCUUCAAAAUUAACCUUCCACCUGAGUCGAGAACUCUCGUUAUCUUAUCUUAGAUCGACACUUUAUAGUUCUUUUCGACCAACUGCCAUAUGUUGAAAAAAUUGCUUUUCAUGUCGGGUAUGUACAGUACAUUAGAAAUGACUGACCUCUUGCCAUCUUUCCUCAUAAUAAGAAAAUCACGAAUACCUUCAACUGCUAGAGUAAUUUCAUUUACAAAUUUUACCAUGCUCUUCAUUGAGGGUUUCAUGUUAACAAACCAAUCUUUCCUACCAGUCAUGUGUGAUGAGCAUCUUGAGUCCAAGUACCAUUGGUCCUGAAAUCUUUCUUCAUCUCUUAUUGUGACCAUCAACAAAAUCCCUUCUUCUUCAUGCUUUGCAAACUUUGCAUCAGUUUCUCGAUUCUUCUAUUUUUUAAGACAAUCACUUGAGUAGUGACCAUACUUCUGACAAUUGAAACACGGAAUGUGACUUUUGUCAUAUUUUUUACCACUGUCUCUUCCUCUACCUACAACACCAUCUUUUUGGUUACUUUGGUAUGGGAGUUUUCUCUGAUUUGACCAGCCUCCUUCUUGCUAAUUUUGACCAGUCGGAUUUUUGUAGCCUCCUUUACCUUUGUUGUUGAGCCACUUCCUUUUGCCUUUAUUUUCUCUUGCUAAUUGCGUUUGCAAAGUCACACCACUCUUCGACUUGCCUGCAGCUCUUUUAACCAUUCUUUGUUCAUGAGAUUCAAGCGUCCCUUGAAGCUCUUCCUUUGUCAAUGCUGACAAAUCUUUCGACUCUUCUAUGGCUACUACCACGUGGUCAAACUUUGGAGCCAAUGAUCUCAAGAUCUUUGGAACACCUGAUCAUGAUGUCAACACUUCUCCACAUACCUUGAUUUGAUUCACCAUAUUUUUAACCCUAGUAAAAAAUCAGUUAUGCUUUCACUGUCUUCCAUCUGAAGCAAUUCAUACGUUCUUUUGUGAGUUUGUAACCUCACCUCUUUCACCUUCUCUCUGCCUCCAAAUGAUUUUUCAAGAAUUUCCCAUGCUUCUUUCACUAACUCAACAUCACUAACCUUUUGAAAAUUAUCAUAAUCAACACAUUGAUGGAUUAUAAAGAGAGCUUUAUAAUAUUUCUUCUUCAAUUCUUUGUGUGCAUCAUUUUCUUCAUCCGUCGCAUUUGCUGCAAGCGAUGUCACUCCCUCCUUCACAAGAUCCAAAAGAUCUUGAUAGGAAAAGACAUCCUUUAUCUGCUUGCACCAAUUCUCGUAAUUCAAAUUCUUCAGAAUUGGGAGACUCACUGAAAAAUGCUCGUUCAGAUGAUUCAUCACCAUCGUCCUUUUCUUCCCACAAAUCACUCAACCAUUGCUCUAGAUAUCGGGUGUUGGAAUUAAACUCAAGACUUUGAGUAAUUCCGAAUCAAUCUUGAUGAACAAGAUCCAAUCAACCGAUUGAAUUCUCUUCUUGUUCUUCACUCUUCACUCGAGUGAAUCAGUCAACCUUGGUUGCAAGACUGUAUCGUUGCACAAUGGUAAUAAAAAGAAACAAAAUUGAAUUGGGGAAGAAAGAGAUAUUAGGAUUUUCGAAUAAGGAAGAAGAUGAAUUUUCUACAAAGAUCCUCUCUGCUCACAAACUAUGAUUCUUUAUUCUUUUGCAACUGAAAAAUUCAAGUAUUUUCAGUAAGAGGUUACUCCCUAUUUAUAGAUUUUGGGCUUACUUCUCAAGUAAGACUCAAAACUAACAUAACUAACCUGUUUCGACACAAAAAAAUUACAAUUUAAUAUAUAUAUUUUUGACUCUAAAGCAAACUUGAUUCAGAAAGUAUGACUUUAUCGACCAUCUUAUGCAUUUUUGACCACUUGAGCUAUCUUAAACAAUUAUUUUUGACUUCAAGUAUUGUCAUCAUCAAAACCAUAUCAUUGUCAAUCUUAAAGAACUAUUGAUUGAAUUGUGUCUUACUAUUCACGAGUUUCACCAUCUUGAAUACUUCUUGAUUAUAUCCAUAAGCAUAUAGAUCCAUAGAUUUCAUGUCGUUUUUCUAAUCCCAUCCUCUGAAAAUUCGUCUGUUAAAUACAUAUUAUCUUCCAUCCUAAUCUUUUUGUAUCUAUUCUCCAUACUGUUUCCUAACACCUCAGGAAAGUGCUAAAAAAUGUCUUGUUUUACCAGUUAAAACCCGGUUAGCUUUGCAUCAGUGAAAGUAUCUUGUAUUAGCUUCAGGGGCGGAGGUAUUAAGAAGAAAGAAUGGGCCCAUGCCCCCACCACAUUCUUAUUUGAUUAAUAUUUAAUAAUAUAUUAAUAAUUUAAUAUCCUAAAAAUUAGGAAGAAAAGUUAAUAAUGCCCCCACUUAAUAAAAUGAUUUGGAGUAUCACACACGGACACACAUCCAUAUGCAUUUAAAAUAAAUUAAAUUCUUUAAAUAAAAUUAAAAAGUUUAACUCCUAUUUUUUUUCAUAUUCCUAUUAAUUCUCUUUUACUCUUUCCAAAUAGAAACAAACCACUUUUCAUAUUCUUCUUUCUCCCACUCCUUAUUCUCUCACUACAAAGUGUAUUUCUGUUUCUAGCUUCUUCUCCAUUGUUGAUCUUUUAAAAGGUAAUUUUUUUAAUUUUAAUCUUUAUGAAUUUAUAAUUUAUUUUUAUUAUUGUAGUAAGAGUAAAAAAUAUAUUAUUACUUUAUUAAGCUAGAGAUUGUGUUAAUGGCAGAAAAUUUAUUUUUAGAGUUUUGUAGUGUUUGUUUGAAACUAUUGUGUUUGUAUCAAUUUUAUAGUAUUAUUAUGAAUUUUCUGAAUAUGAUUUUAAUUGUGAUUUUUUGUUUUGUUUUUAGCAAUAAACAAUGGAAAAAUAUUUCAAAAGAAAAGCAACAGAGCAAUCAUCAACUCCUAAUCCCUAAACACCUAAUGAACGUCGAAGCCCCAAACUGGAUCCUCCCAUGAAAAAAAGAUUUUUGCAGUUUGAAUUGGAAAAACUUUCUAACUAUCCCGGUUUAAGGCCAAAAAUGUCAGAUUAUCAUCAAAGCGAUAGAGAUGAAAUUAGAAGAUAUUAUUUGCAAAAGGGUCCUUGUCAACCAAAAGAAAUUAUUUUUCCACAAAAAAAAUUUGGAGAUACCUUUCGUAAGUUUAAUUCGGAUUGGUAUUUAAAACAUGGUAGUUGGCUGAAAUAUAGUCAAAUUGAGAAUGCUGCAUAUUGUUUAUGUUGUUAUCUUAUGAGGUCACAUCUUGAAGAACAUAAAGGUUGUGGUGAUGCCUUUAUAACAGAAGGCUUUACAAAUUGGAAAAAAAAAAGUGAAAGGUUUCGAGUUCAUCUUGGAGAUGUAAAUAGCUCUCAUAAUCAAGCAUGGAGAAAUUGUCAAGCUCUAAUGAAACAAAAGCAACACAUUGAAGGUGUCUUGUGUAACCAAUCCAAUCAAGUUAAAGAGGACUAUCAAGUUCAUUUGACAUGUAUAAUUGAUUGCAUCCGAUAUUUAUUAGCACAAGGUUUAGCUUUUCGUGGUAAUGAUGAGUCAAUUUCAUCCAGAAAUAAGGGGAAUUUUCUUGAACUUAUGAACUUUCUUGUUAACCAUAGUGAAGAUAUUUAUAAAGUUUGGAAAAAUUGUCGUGGAAAUCUUAAGUUAACAUCUCCUGAUAUUCAAAAGGAUAUUGUUAAAGUUGCUGCAACGGUCAUUACUCAAGUUAUACUGGAUGAUCUUGGAGAUGAUUUAUUUGCUAUUUUAAUUGAUGAAUCUCGUGAUAUCUCAGUGAAGGAGCAAAUGGUUGUGGUUAUACGUUAUGUAAAUAAUGAAGGAAAAGUUAUUGAGCGUUUUCUUGGUGUUGUUCAUGUUUCAAAUACUAGUGCUCUAACAUUGAAAUCGGGUUUGGAGUCGUUAUUUGCAAAAUAUGGAUUAAGUUUGUCAAGGAUACGUGGACAAGACUAUGAUGGAGCAAGUAAUAUGCAGGGUGAAUACAAUGGUCUAAAAAUCUUGAUUUUUAAAGAGAAUUGUUCUGCAUUUUUUAUUCAUUAUUUUGCCCAUCAACUCCAAUUAGCUCUUGUGACAUUAGCAAAAAAUCAUUCUAAAUUUGCUUUAUUUUUUAAUGGUUGCUACUUUGUAUAAUGUUGUUGGAGCAUCAUGUAAGCGCCGGAAUAUUCUUCGUGAAAGUCAAGCUACAAAGGUGAAACAAGCAUUGGAACAUGGAGAAAUCUCUAGUUGGCGUGGCUUGAAUCAAGAAAUGACAAUUAAGAAGGCGGGGGAAACAAGAUGGAGCUCACAUUAUGGUACAUUAUUUAGUAUAGUUUCUCUAUUCUCUUCUAUGAUUGAUGUGCUAGAAAUGGUUGAGGAAGAUGAAACAGAUUUAGAUAAAAAAAAAGGUGAAGCACUAAUGCUGAUGAAUUAUAUGCAAUCUUUUGAAUUUAUUUUCAUCUUGCACUUGAUGAAAAUAGUUUUAGAAAUUACACACGAUUUAUCUCAAGCAUUACAAAGAAGUAUUCAAGAUAUUGUAAAUGCUAUGAAGUUAGUAAAAGUGUCCAAAAUAAGGCUACAAAUUAUAAGAGAUAAUGAUUGGGAUUCUUUCUUGAAUAAUGUUUCAUUAUUUUGUUAGCAUAAUGAUAUUGACAUUCCAGAUAUGGAUGACACUUUUCAACCGACACAAAAAAAGUCAAAGAGAAAAUUGGAGAAAGUAUCUAAUUUACACCAUUUUCAAGUUGGAUUGUUUUAUGAAGUGAUUGAUCGACAACUUCAAGAGUUGAACAACCGUUUUACAAAAGUGAAUAUUGAGUUGCUCCUUUGUGUAGCUUGUUUAAGUCAAAGAGAUUCAUUUUCUACAUUUGAUAAGGAGAUGUUGAUUCGUUUAACUAAAUUUUAUCAUUCAGAGUUUUCUCAAGUUGAAUUAUUGACACUAGAUUGUUAGCUUGAAAACUAUUUCUUAGAUGUAUGCUCUGACAGUGAAUUUUCAGAAUUAAAGGGGAUUGGUGAUCUUUUUAUCAAGCUCAUAGAGAUCAAAAAACAUGUGUACCCGUUGGUAUAUUUGCUUUUAAAGUUAUCUCUGAUAUUAUCGGUGGCAACUGCAACAACUGAAAGAGUUUUCUCUGCUAUGAAUAUUAUCAAGAAUUGAAUGCGAAAUCGCAUGGGUGAUGAUUGGUUAAAUGAUUGAUUAGUUACUUACAUUGAGAGAGAUAUUUUUGUUGAUGUUGAAAAUGAGAAAAUCAUUCAGAAGAUGAAAAAUCGUCGUCCCUGAUUAGCUUCCCCUUCUUUUAAACCAUUUCAAGAGGGGCUUUACCACAGAAUACUAGCCUUCAUUCUCACUAGAGAAAACAAUUGAUACAACACAUCUCUUUUAGAUAUAAUUCUUCUGAAGAUAGCACUGAUAUUUCACUUUUCAGGUCCAUCUCAAUGACUUUUUUCGUUUACCUCUUCUGAGUAUACAAACACCCUUACAGAAACAUCAUUGUCACUGUGAUGUGAAUGAUUGAAAAGGUGUAUAAAAAUCGACAAAAUUAUAAAAAAUAACAAAGCAGGAUCCGUAUAUUUGAGAGGUGCCAGCUGAACAAAACAUAAAAUAACGUAUGUGUAAAUCCAAAAUGUUGAGAGGUGCACAUGAACCCCUGGGUACAAAACAAGGUGUCUCUGCCCCGGAGUAUGCAUGUCCCAAUUGCCAAGAAUGGGUUCUAUUAGGCCCUAUACUAGUGAUCACUAAUGCUUAACAGUUUUUGCAUUUGGCCAAAUAAUAUUUAAAAAGAGAGUAACUAUCUAAUUUAACACACAUAACUCAAACAAUUAAUCACACACAUUGAUUAAUAAACGCAUCAAGUAACAUACAUAACAACAUUACAAAAGUACUGCAUAUGCGCAGUUUAUUUAUAGAAACUGGAUCUGUCACACAUGACUUGACAUGCAUGAUGAUGAAAAGCAAAAAAACUAUGCAUCUGCAGCUUGCUUAGAACUUGAAGUUCCACUCAACUCAGAAUGAAAAGACCAUGAAAGAACUUCAUGUGCUGCAUAUUCUGCUCCUGUGGUAGCUGAGAAACCAAUCCUUACCCACUCAGGAACAACAUCCUUCAAAGACACAACGUCGCUAAGAGUAUAACUAGUUACAUUCUCUUCCUCAAGUGAAUUAGGAUAGGUCAAACUAACAGUUAACACAUUAGUAGCAGCAUUAAAAGCUAUCACAACAUUAGCCUCUUCACCAUUCUGCAACUUCCACGACUUAGUGUUUACGGAUUUGAUACUGUUCACAUCGAUUCCAAUAUGUCUAUCUCUGUUGCUUGGAUCCCAUGCAGCAUUAUAGAAAGUGUCAAACUCCACAGCAACAGUUUGAGUGGUUUUAUCAUACUCUGCGCUAUUGAAAACUCCGAGAUAUCCACCGCCGGUCUGCGGCUUAGUAUCUACAGGUGCGAUGAAGAACGUAAACCCGUCGGCAACGUUGUAACUGUUGGGUGCAUUUAUGACAAAAGUGAAGGAAGUUACAAAAUUAGCAACGUUGCCUGUUUCUCUAUCCCAGAUAUGGAUAGGUGAGGAAUAGAGGGCUCUGCCAACAGUGUUCUUUACUGCCUUGGUCAGUGUCAGCUUCUCUUUUGUGGUAUAGCCAUCUCCUUGGAAGAUUAGGUUUUGUUGGUCGGGGCUGAACUUGGUGAUCAAGAAGGAAGUGGUUUCAGUUGAGUUCACCUUGAAGAAAAGGAUUGUUGUUAAGAGAAUGGAUAGAAAUAUCGCAUAGAACGAGAUCAUUUGGGUUUGAAGAGAAGCCAUUAUUGGUUAUAAUUGCAUGCAUGCAUGCAUGCUACUUGUUUAUAUAGUGGUGAUGACUCAUUCUACGUGUCUUUAUAGUGCGUUACAAUGAAACACAUAUACAACACCAUGUCCCAUCAUUUUCUACGCGUCCAUCGAAUCUUCUUUGAAGACAAAAAAUAUUGUAUUUUGUUUAACUAGUUUAUUUAUUUAUUACUAUAUAUUUUUGCAUGUAAUAACUUGUAUUUCUUCGAGGUUGUUCGGUUUAGAUCAUGAUUACUGUUUUUGUUCGGUACGAUAACUAUUAAAAUUUAUAUGUUAAAAAAAUAUGACUCAUUAAAUUUCAAUUUAUUUAAAGAGUUUUUUAGGGCUGAUAUUUAUUUAAAACUUAUGGAGAGGGUGGUCGUAUUGUUAUAACUAAUAUAUUUUAUGAUAAAAUUUGUAUCUCAUCCAAUUAAAAAUUAAGGUAUCAUCUCAUCCAAUUAAAAAUUAAGCUAAAAGAUCUAGCUACAUCAUAUUUUUUUGGCACAAUUAAUCACCAAAUUUUUAGUUUAAUUUAAUAUUUUGUUUUAAUUCUUUAAUUAAAAAAUAUUAUAUGUUAAUCUUUUAAUUUCACUUCUUUAUCUUAUUUGUUCUCUUCCGUUAAUUUCUAGGAAAAAAUAUUAAGUUCUUGUGACAUGACAUGAAAGAAAUGUCACUGAGUCAAUAUAUGUAGUUGAAAACUUACACGUCAUUAAAUUGAAGGGGAUUUAUUUUUAACCUUCAGAAACAAAACUCUCGCAGUUUAAAUAGUAUAUCAAUUUUUAACUACAUAUGUUGACUUAAAAUUUAUACCAAUGACCUAGCUAUCACACCACAUCAUCAGAACUUAACUUUUUUUUUUGCCAGAAAUCAAAUAAGUUAAUGGAUUAAAACGGAAUAUUAAAUAAAGUUAAGGGACUAAAACAUGUAUUAAGCUUUUUUUAAUAAAUAUCACAUAUUUCAUUAGUUUUUAAAUAUAACCGAGGGGAAAGAUAAUUCAGGACAUGUUUCAAAUCCCAAUAAUAAUAGAUUCUUUAAAAGUGACGUCUUUCUUUUUGUUUUAUUUUUAAUUUUUAAACUAAUAAUCUAUAUUUUCUUUUAUAUUUAAUAACGAGUGAUUAGAUUAUCAUAUUUUACUAUAAAAACACUCAUUAAUCAGAUUUUACCUUAAACCUAACUUAUACGUAGUUGCUUCAAAGUCUUAUGCAACCUUCUUUGGAAUGGAUUGUAAGAUAGAAAAAAAAUUCAAUGUUCUUCAUUCUUGAACAAAAUAUUUUUUCUGCCCUUGCAAUCUAUCUCACAUAACUUUGUUGUAUUUUUGUAAUAAUUUUCCUAUGUUCUCAAUCAAAGAAAAUAUUGAGAAAAUUAUUGUUUUUCUAUGUUGACAAUAUUGAGAAAUUUAUUCCUACACACAAUCAUCUAUUUGUUAUGAAAACAUUUUCUCAAGAUAAUGAAAUCUCUCUGAGAUUGAUUGCAAGUACGGAAAAAAAAUUCUCUUAGCUGAAGUAGAUAAUUUAUUAGAAAUUUGAGAAGAUAUGUUGUUCUGCAAGAGUCCAUUGUCAAAAUAUUGAUUUGUUUAAACAAUUUAUUUGAAUAUUCAUCGUAAAUAUAAAAAUAAAAAUAAAAAUAAAAAUAAGUUUUUUCUCCUCGUUUUUAACAGAAACGGAGAGGUAUAUGACGCUUGGGUUGUGACAUAUUUUAUUAUUUUUUAUUUAAAAAAAACGUAUUUUAUCUCAGUUUUGAGUAAUAACCAAGGUAAAACAUAAGUGUGUUUAUUCAGUUUCUUCACCGACCUUAAACAAAUUUAUGUCGUUCAUUUAAUAAGUAUCAACGCUCAAGACACUGUCAUUAGUGAUCAUCGUAAAACCUAAAAUCCUAAUUAUAAAAAUAUUAUGAAUAUUAAAAAUUGAUAAUGAAAUAUUUGACAUGAAAGCUUUGAAUCUUAAAAAGGAGUUUAUUUUUUUGGGGAAAAGUUCUCAAGGAUGGAUUGCAAGAACAGAAAAUUAUUUGAGUUCAAGGUUUGUGUUCUUAAAUAAUCAUAUAACUGAAUAUUUAUUUUAUUUAUCUAACCUUUUUUAUUUAUUUUAUAUAAGACAUUUGAUCUUCCUAAAGAUCAUUGAAACGAGGAUCCCCAACAUUUGUUCUUCCCCGAUAUAUUAGUAUUUGUUCUUCACUGACAGCGAUGACAAUGAACCAGACUCAACAGUUCAACUAAUAUUUAUUUUGUGUAACAAUUUAGUUUGUAAAUAAAUUAAUUUAUUAAUAUUCUAUGUAAUUGUAAACACUGUAAUGAGUAUUUAAAAAAAUAUAUAUAUUUUUUCCCUCGGUUUUGUUAUGAAACCGAGAGGUAUAUGAUGUUAGUUUGAAAAAUAUAAAAAAGUUAUUAUUUGGGAUCGAACCCAUGACCAUUUCAAUUAUUACAUCGAUUAUUUUUAAAUAGAGGGGUAAAAUGGUAGUUAUUACACCCUUCGCUGCCUCGCCUCUUUAACCGAGGUUAAAUCAACUUUGUGUUUGAGGUUACAUGUGUUUUUUUAGUAGUAUGGAGAGAGAAAAAUAAUUAUCCAAAUUUAAAUUUGGAAUUGUUCGGGACCCAUUCGCAAGGUCUAUAGAAAAAGAUCUAAGAGUGAAGCUCGAAUUGAAAGACACACAAAGUAGGUAACCCUUCGUUCUAACUAGAAGCAGGAAAUUUUAUCCUUUCAACGCAUCAAUCAUCGUCUGAUUCAAUUUGAGAUUGUUUGCAUAAUAUGUCGCAUCAUAUUCAAGUAGCUUCAACUGCUUUUGAUAUAUAUGGGUAAAAUUGGUCAUUUUAGAAAUUCAAAUCAAUUUUCACUCACACAUUACUUAUGAUUUUUUUCGCUGACUUAGAGGUUGAAGUGCUAAGCUUCCAGAUGAACCUCUUAUCCGUUGCACUGAAAGUAUUGAUCAAUCACAACAAAACAUAACUUCAGUACCCCACCUUUAAUUUCUAGUUUCUAAAUGAAGAGUGGCGCCAUCUGUGAAAAUCGAUUUCUGAUUUCGCAGAUUUCCACGAAAAACCAUUGUUUCUCCAUCGAAGAUCCAUAUCACGGAUCUCCUUUCUUGAAGUUUCAACCUCCUCCUCGAACAGAUAUCAUCAGAUUCAUCAAACAUGGUGACAUCCAAAAUCAGUCGAUCCACCGUUCAGUGACAAGUUGUUGUUGUUAUUGCUGUUGAAGUUGUCAAAGCUCUACAUUUUCCUUUUCCUCCACCGACAGAAGACGACACUACUACGAAAUAAAUAAAUAAUGACAGUUGUGAAACACAUAUAAUGACGGUUGUACUUCUGUUGUUAGGUAAGGUGUGAUUGUAUGUAUGUUGGUUUCCACAACGGGCAUGUGACUAUUGUUAUAAGUUAAUUAGCGUGCUACGUAUAACAACAGUUGAAUUAAACAACCGUUGUGAUAUUAUUUGUUUUAUUAUUCUGGAUAUCUCUACUUAUAACAAUGGUUGAAUUAAGCAACCGUUGUGAUAUUAUUUGUUUUUUAAAUCUGAAUAUAUCUAAAUCAUAUCAGACUAGAAACAACGAUACACCAGUUUGUGAGUGAACAACCUUAGAAAUCAUACUAUCUUGUUGUCUUGGUGUCUUGACUUUAAACACCUAUAAUUCUAAAUAAAAAUAUUUACGAGUUAAUAACCUUAUAAAUUAUAACUUACAAUAAAUUAUGAAUGAAGAAUAUAAAAUACUUACUUGUUAUUUUCCCCAUAUUUCUUAUUGAUGUUCUUCAUAUGAAGUAGGCACUUGUGUUAUGUAAGAACAAGAAUCUAUACACAGAAGAUAAAAAGAGGAGAUAAGAGAGAGUCUAAGUAAAAAUAAAAAUAAAGUAUUCACGAAAUCUCAAUUGCUAGAGAAAAGGGUAAACAAUUAUCCAUAAUAUCCAAGAUAGUCAAAGUCAGAUUCUAAAAGGAAAAGCUUCCCAAGAUGCAUAGUCUUCAAGGCAACUUGUACAUUAUCCAAGAUUUCUUUUUAUAAAAAUAGACGUUUGCAUACCCAUUCAGAUCACAUUACUCUAUAGCUAAAAUAGGUCAACCAGAGCAGUAUAAGGCUCAAAAGUGGGAUCAUGAGAAAGAGAUUUCCAAGCCGAUGAAGAA